rnacentral:rRNA from 1 species
GUGUCAGCCGCCGCGGUAAUACAGAGGUCCCAAGCGUUGUUCGGAUUCACUGGGCGUAAAGGGUGCGUAGGUGGCCGGUUAAGUCUGACGUGAAAUCUCCGAGCCUAACUCGGAAACUGCAUCGGAAACUAUCCGGCUCGAGGGUUGGAGGGGGGACUGGAAUACUUGGUGUAGCAGUGAAAUGCGUAGAUAUCAAGUGGAACACCAGUGGCGAAGGCGAGUCCCUGGACAACUCCUGACACUGAGGCACGAAAGCUAGGGGAGCAAACAGGAUUAGAAACCCUGGUAGUCC